rnacentral:rRNA from 1 species
UUGAACGCUGGCGGCAUGCUUUACACAUGCCAGUCGAACGGCAGCGCGGGCUUCGGCCUGGCGGCGAGUGGCGAACGGGUGAGUAAUGCAUCGGAACGUGCCCAGUAGUGGGGGAUAGCCCGGCGAAAGCCGGAUUAAUACCGCAUACGACCUGAGGGUGAAAGCGGGGGACCGAAAGGCCUCGCGCUAUUGGAGCGGCCGAUGUCGGAUUAGCUAGUUGGUGGGGUAAAGGCUUACCAAGGCGACGAUCCGUAGCUGGUCUGAGAGGACGACCAGCCACACUGGGACUGAGACACGGCCCAGACUCCUACGGGAGGCAGCAGUGGGGAAUUUUGGACAAUGGGGGCAACCCUGAUCCAGCCAUGCCGCGUGCGGGAAGAAGGCCUUCGGGUUGUAAACCGCUUUUGUUCGGGAAGAAAUCCUCUGGGCUAAUACCCCGGGGGGAUGACGGUACCGGAAGAAUAAGCACCGGCUAACUACGUG